UACAGAGGUCCCAAGCGUUGUUCGGAUUCACUGGGCGUAAAGGGUGCGUAGGCGGUCGGGUAAGUCUGAUGUGAAAUCUCACAGCUUAACUGUGAAACUGCAUUGGAUACUAUCCGGCUCGAGGAAUGGAGGGGAGACUGGAAUACUUGGUGUAGCAGUGAAAUGCGUAGAUAUCAAGUGGAACACCAGUGGCGAAGGCGGCUUACUGGAUCCAAACUGACGCUGAGGAGCGAGAGCGUGGGGAGCAAACAGG
rnacentral:rRNA from 1 species